AUGCACGCUGGCGGCGUGCCUAAUACAUGCAAGUCGAGCGAACGGACGAGAAGCUUGCUUCUCUGAUGUUAGCGGCGGGCGGGUGAGUAACACGUGGAUAACCUACCUAUAAGACUGGGCUAACUUCGGGAAACCGGAGCUAAUACCGGAUAAUAUUUUGAACCGCAUGGUUCAAAAGUGAAAGACGGUCUUGCUGUCACUUAUAGAUGGAUCCGCGCUGCAUUAGCUAGUUGGUAAGGUAACGGCUUACCAAGGCAACGAUGCAUAGCCGACCUGAGAGGGUGAUCGGCCACACUGGAACUGAGACACGGUCCAGACUCCUACGGGAGGCAGCAGUAGGGAAUCUUCCGCAAUGGGCGAAAGCCUGACGGAGCAACGCCGCGUGAGUGAUGAAGGUCUUCGGAUCGUAAAACUCUGUUAUUAGGGAAGAACAUAUGUGUAAGUAACUGUGCACAUCUUGACGUUACCUAAUCAGAAAGCCACGGCUAACUACGUG
rnacentral:rRNA from 1 species